AUCAUUAAGUUGAAAUUUGAAAUUUGUGCCCCUUUUAUUAAAAUAUUAAAGAAGUCACCAGCAAAACAUUGAUAAUCAACAUAUUGGAGAGGAAUAGGUGAGAAUUAGUUAACGCGUUCAAUAUCUUAAAUUAAAAAGAUUUUGAAGUGUUUUUUUCCUACAAAUAGUAGCAGUCUAGGUGCAAUAUUUCAGCAAGAAAGUCUUGCCUGCUAAGAAAAUCAGGAGUGAAAAAUGGAGAAACAAAUAGAAGGGUCUAAGAAGAGGGUGAUGGUGAUCAUAGAUGAGAGCGAGCACAGCUAUCAUUCCUUCAUGUGGGCAGUUGACAAUCUCAAAGAAUUUAUCACUGAGUCGCCGCUUGUCAUACUUGCUGCACUUCCUGCUCCUAACUGUAAAUUUCUUUAUGGGGCACAAUUUGGCACCGCUGCCCUCUGGUGUCCAGUCUCUCCCAGUUAGUUUUCUUGCUCUUCUUUCUUCCACUUCUGGUUUACUUUCCUGUUUCUGAAUUUUGUGUGAUUUUAUUAUACUAAUAUAUAUUCUCUUUUGGUAUAUGUAAUGUUUUGUGCACAAUUAAAUUUCUUUAUGGGGCACAAUUUGGAACCGCUGCCCGCUGUUGUCCAGUCUCUCCCACCAUAGAUUUGAUCUGUGCCAUUCAAGAAAAAAACAAGAAGAUCUUAUUAGGUAUCUUGGAGAAAGCUGUGAAUAUCUGUGCUAGUCGAGGGCAAUCUUACAGUCAUCAGUGGUGAAGGAUAUACGUGUUCAUGUUAUUUUUGACUCCGUAGGUGAAAGCAGAAACAAUUUUAGAAGCCGGGGAGCCUUAUGAACUCAUAUGCAAUGCUGUUCAGAAGAACAAUAUUAAUCUCCUCGUGAUUGGUAACACAUCCAUUAAUGGAACUCUCAAAAGGGAUUUUCUGGGGAGAUUGAGCAACUAUUGCCUGAAUAAUGCCAAGUGCCAUGUCCUUGUUGUGAAGAAACCAGAAUGAAUAAGCAUUAGUCCAUUUCAACAUGGAAUUACUUUGUAAUUAAUAAGUUGUUUGGACAUCAUUUGAUAUGGUUUUCCUGUUUUCAUUACAUGUAAAACGUUAUCAUGUGGUAAAUCAAGAAAAGCUGCAAUAAUAUUGUUUGGUUGUUCAAGAAA